AUCAUUUCCCUGCACAGCGGACACGUAAACAAUUCAAACACAAAACAACGACAUAACCUGUAACCUGCAUUUUAUGGGAUUAUCAAAAUGGCUACUGUUGUCCAGUCUACUUGUAGCAGGUACUGGCGCAGGAGCAGGCUCCUCCAUCUUUGGCUUCCUCACACGGAGCAGCCGGUUUUUUCCUCUCCAUCAUGACAUGUCGCCAAGCUGGCCUCCUGAUUGACCUUCAUAUGUGUGUGAUGUAGAUCCUACUCCUGUUUGUGGUGCUGGCCCUGUACUGGAACAUACCACCUGUCAGCUCCGGGGAGGAGGGUAUGGCUGUGGGAGAGAUCAUGGAGGAAGAGGAGGAGCUUUUGGUAGGGUCUGAAGAGACCCUAGAGACGUACUGGGCGAUCUGGGACGACCAGAUAGAGACCUUUCCAAGAAGGUGCGCUGUUAGUCUCUCACCAUCUUGUCUGUUGAGUAGGAAGAGAUGUCACUGUCUAUUAGUGCAUGUUAGGUGUCUCCUGUAUCGAUUCUGUCUCAAGUAUCUGUUAUGUGCCAGCUUGUAUGUGUGUGUGAGAGUGUAUGCGUGCGUGUGCGUGUGUCUGUGUCUGUGUGUGUGUCUGUGUGUGUGUAUUUCUGUGUGUCUGUGUGUGUGUGUGUGUGUGUGUGUUAUUCCUCAUUCUCUCUGUUGAGUUCACACUCUUCAACCAGACAGCGCUGGAGGUGAGAGCAGCUGCAAAACUGUACCUCUCACAAACCAGCCUAAGUAAGGACUACAUCGGUUUUUUACUAUCAUAAGACAAUUAUACAAUUUUGACUUUGCAGCUUGGUCAUAGAGUGGGUGCUGGGAGCCCUUUCCCAUCAAGGGUGCAUUUGUAAAUUCACUCUGGCUAGCUCAAUUCACUCUGGAGAUCUUCGUGGGCUAUACUUGGCCUUGUCUCAGGGAAGUAGGUUGGUGGUUGAA